rnacentral:rRNA from 1 species
GAAAUAAUAGCUGUCUUUAUUUAAUAAUUAUUAAAAUUUAAUUUUUAAGUUAAAAAGCUUAAAUAUUAAUAAAAGACGAGAAGACCCUAUAGAGCUUUAUAAAUUUUAAUUUAUUAAUAUUUAAGAUUUUUUAUUUUUAUAAAUUUAAGUUUAUUAUAUUGGGGUAAUAGAAAGAUUUAAUUAAUUCUUUUUUUUUAUUUUAUUAAUAUAUAUUUAUAAUGAUCCAUUAUUAUUGAUUAUAAGAUUAAGUUACCUUAGGGAUAACAGCGUAAUUUUUUUAGAGAGUUCAUAUUGAUAAAAAAGUUUGCGACCUCGAUGUUGGAUUAAAGAUUAAUUUAGGUGCAAAAGUUUAAAUUUUUGGUCUGUUCGACCAUUAAAUCUUUACAUGAUCUGAGUUCAGACCGGUUUAAGCCAGGUCGGUUUCUAUCUUUAUUAAAUUAAAAUAUUUUAGUACGAAAGGACCAAAUAUUUAUUAUAAUAAUUUUAUUUUUGAAUAAUAAU